CCCUGGGUUUGCUGGUGAGAAGGAGCCACAAAUCUAAGCCAGGAUGAUCUCGUGGCGUCUUUGUCCUCCCUUCCUCUCUAUUCACAGAAAACCCCACUGGGAAGCUCCUACAGCCGCGUGAUUCCUGCUCAAAGGUUUAGAGUUAAAUGGGUCUCAGGUAGCCCAGGUAGACUUCGAACUCCUUAUGUAGCUGAACCCUGGAGGCUCCUGACUUCACUUCUGAAGUGUCAGGAUGUGAUGUGUGUGCAGCCAUGUUCAGCUUGUACAGAGCCGUGGAUGGAACAGAUGACUUUGUGGAUGCUCGUCUUUGUCUCUUUCUGGCAAGUGCCUCUGCCAGUGCUGCUGCCGCUGCGUCUGUUGCCACCAUCCUUCCUUGACAUCAGAAUCUGGUUUCUUUGGACUUUUUGCCUAGGCUGAAGAGCCAUGACUAUCCAAGAAUCGUUCAUGCCCUGGGCACGAGGUUGGGAUGGCUGAGGCAUGUGGUUUCAUGGACUGAGCAGCCCCUACACCUUCACUUUCUACAGUGUGAAGACAGCCAUGGUUGGAGUAUCUAGCCUUUAUUGUGCAAGCUAAUUGAAUAAAGUUCGGUUUUUAUAUGC
rnacentral:lncRNA from 1 species